CAAAGGCUUGGUCCUGACUUUUCUGUCAUCCUUGGCUAAAUUUACACAUGCAAGUAUCCGCCCCCCCGUGAGAAUGCCCUACAGUUCCCCUACUCGGGAACAAGGAGCUGGUAUCAGGCACAUUUUAUGAACUGCCCACGACACCUUGCUUAGCCACGCCCCCAAGGGAAUUCAGCAGUGAUAAACAUUAGGCUAUAAGUGAAAGCUUGACUUAAUUACAGCUACCAGGGCCGGUAAAACUCGUGCCAGCCACCGCGGUUAUACGAGAGGCCCAAGUUGAUAGACAUCGGCGUAAAGAGUGGUUAAGCUACCCCUCUCCCCCAAAAACUAAAGCCAAACACCUUCAAAACUGUUAUACGUACUCGAAGGUAUGAAGUCCAACUACGAAAGUGGCUUUAAAAUAUAUCUGACCCCACGAAAGCUGCGGAACAAACUGGGAUUAGAUACCCCACUAUGCCCGGCCCUAAACUUUGAUAGUCUCCCUACACCCGCUAUCCGCCUGGGGACUACAAGCGCUAGCUUUAAACCCAAAGGACUUGGCGGUGCUUAAGAUCCACCUAGAGGAGCCUGUUCUAGAACCGAUAACCCCCGUUCAACCUCACCCUCCCUUGUUUUUACCGCCUAUAUACCGCCGUCGUCAGCUUACCCUGUGAAGGAUCAAUAGUAAGCAAAAUUGGUAAGACCCAAAACGUCAGGUCGAGGUGUAGCGUAUGGAAGGGAAAGAAAUGGGCUACAUUUCCUAAGCAGGAAAUACGAACAAUGAACUGAAACACGCAUUUAGAAGGAGGAUUUAGCAGUAAAUGAAAAACAGAGCGUUUCAUUGAAACCGGCCCUAAAGCGCGCACACACCGCCCGUCACUCUCCCCGAAACAAACCUUACUAUACUUAAUAACAUUAAAAACACAAGGGGAGGCAAGUCGUAACAUGGUAAGUGUACCGGAAGGUGCACUUGGACAAAC
rnacentral:ncRNA from 1 species